CAGCAGCCGCGGUAAUACGGAGGAUCCAAGCGUUAUCCGGAAUCAUUGGGUUUAAAGGGUCCGUAGGCGGUCUUGUAAGUCAGUGGUGAAAGCCCAUCGCUCAACGGUGGAACGGCCAUUGAUACUGCAGGACUUGAAUUAUUGGGAAGUAACUAGAAUAUGUAGUGUAGCGGUGAAAUGCUUAGAGAUUACAUGGAAUACCAAUUGCGAAGGCAGGUUACUACCAAUUGAUUGACGCUGAUGGACGAAAGCGUGGGUAGCGAACAGGAUUAGAUACCCCAGUAGUCCCUGUCUCUUAUAA
rnacentral:rRNA from 1 species